UACAGAGGGUGCAAGCGUUGUUCGGAAUUAUUGGGCGUAAAGCGCGUGUAGGCGGCCUUGCAAGUCGGGUGUGAAAGCCCUCAGCUCAACUGAGGAAGUGCGCCCGAAACUGCAUAGCUUGAGUGCCGGAGAGGGUGGCGGAAUUCCCCAAGUUAGAGGUGGAAAUUCGUAAGAUAUGGGGAGGAACACCGGUGGCGAAGGCGGC
rnacentral:rRNA from 1 species